rnacentral:rRNA from 1 species
UACGUAGGGUGCGAGCGUUGUCCGGAAUUAUUGGGCGUAAAGAGCUCGUAGGCGGUCUGUCGCGUCUGCUGUGAAAACCCGGGGCUCAACUCCGGGCUUGCAGUGGAUACGGGCAGACUGGAGGUAUGCAGGGGAGAACGGAAUUCCUGGUGUAGCGGUGAAAUGCGCAGAUAUCAGGAGGAACACCGGUGGCGAAGGCGGUUCUCUGGGCAUGUCCUGACGCUGAGGAGCGAAAGUGUGGGGAGCGAACAGG